AGCUCCAUUUGGCAUUAAGAAUUUGCUUAUUAGAAAAGCAUAAUUUUAGAUGUUAUCAGAGUAUUGAAAUCCUAAUUCUGAUAUUUGAACACGAAACAGAAAGAAAGGUUAAAUUUCUAUGAACUUUAACACUAUUCUAUAUUCAUGGAUCUAUCAAUUCAAUGUUAAUACAUGCAGAAGGUUGAUCUCAUCUCACCUUGAUUCAUCCGUAGAAAUGUG
rnacentral:misc_RNA from 1 species